GACGAACCGUCCGAACGUUAUUCGGAAUCACUGGGCUUAAAGAGUGCGUAGGCGGCUUAUCAGGCGGGGUGUGAAAUCCCUCGGCCCAACCGAGGAAUUGCGCUCCGAACCGAUAGGCUUGAGGAGGAUAGAGGUAAGCGGAACAGAUGGUGGAGCGGUGAAAUGCGUUGAUAUCAUCUGGAACACCUGUGGCGAAAGCGGCUUACUGGGUCCUUUCUGACGCUGAGGCACGAAAGCCAGGGUAGCGAACGGGG
rnacentral:rRNA from 1 species